rnacentral:hammerhead_ribozyme from 1 species
AUCUAGCUGAUGAGUCCCAAAUAGGACGAAAUGCGCGUUCUUGAU